CGCGUAGGGACCGAGCGUUGUCCGGAUUUAUUGGGCGUAAAGAGCUCGUAGGCGGUUCAGUAAGUUGGGUGUGAAAACUUCGGGCUUAACUCGAAGCGUGCAUCCGAUACUGCUGUGGCUAGAGUCCGGUAGGGGAGUGGGGAAUUCCUGGUGCAGCGGUGAAAUGCGCAGAUAUCAGGAGGAACACCGGUGGCGAAGGCGCCACUCUGGGCCGGUACUGACGCUGAGGAGCGAAAGCGUGGGUAGCAAACAGG
rnacentral:rRNA from 1 species